rnacentral:rRNA from 1 species
UCUAAUCGCUGGACUGCGGAAGAUACUGUUGGGCUAGGGGGCGGGAGAAGCCGACGGUAUUCUCGGGGUAGGGGUGAAAUCCUAUAAUCCCGGGAGGACCACCAGUGGCGAAGGCGGUCGGCUAGCACGCGCCCGACGGUGAGGAACGAAAGCUGGGGGAGCGAACCGGAUUAGAUACCCGGGUAGUCCCAGCCGUAAACGAUGCGGGCUAGGUGUUGAAGUGGCUACGAGCCACUUCAGUGCCGCAAGGAAACCAUUAAGCCCGUCGCCUGGGGAGUACGGCUGCAAGGCUGAAACUUAAAGGAAUUGGCGGGGGAGCACCACAAGGGGUGAAGCUUGCGGUUCAAUUGGAGUCAACGCCGGGAACCUUACCGGGAGCGACAGCAGGAUGAAUGCCAGAUUGAAGGUCUUGCUGGACGAGCUGAGAGGAGGUGCAUGGCCGUCGCCAGUUCGUGCCGUGAGGUGUCCUGUUAAGUCAGGUAACGAUCGAGACCCACGCCCCUCGUUGCCAACAGGUCCCGUUGGGAUGCUGGGCACACUAGGGGUACUGCCGCCGAUAAGGUGGAGGAAGGAGUGGACUACGGCAGGUCAGUAUGCCCCGAAUCUCCCGGGCCACACGCGAGCUGCAAUGGCUGGGACAAUGGGUUCCGACCUCGAAAGGGGGAGGUAAUCCCUAAACCCUGCCUCAGUUGGGAUCGAGGGCUGUAACUCGCCCUCGUGAACAUGGA